UUAAGUUCAGCGGGUAUUCCUACCUGAUCCGAGGUCAACCUGAAAAAUUGGUUAAAAAAGACCGGGUCAAAAGGGCCGACUAAAAUGCGUGCUAGUUAAAGCUCGUUGCAUCUAGGGUCCAACUGACGCCGUCAUUAUCUUUAGGGCCUGUCUUUGACGACAAGAGGUCCAACAACAAGCCGGGCUUGAUUAGUGAUAAU
rnacentral:misc_RNA from 1 species